rnacentral:tRNA from 1 species
GCGUGGCAGAGCGGUUGAAUGCAACGGUCUUGAAAACCGUCGAAGGGGAAACUCUUCCGUGAGUUCGAAUCUCACCGCUUCCG